UACAGAGGUCUCAAGCGUUGUUCGGAUUCAUUGGGCGUAAAGGGUGCGUAGGCGGCGCGGUAAGUCGGGUGUGAAAUCUCGGGGCUUAACUCCGAAACUGCAUUCGAUACUGCCGUGCUUGAGGACUGGAGAGGAGACUGGAAUUUACGGUGUAGCGGUGAAAUGCGCAGAUAUCAGGAGGAACACCGGUGGCGAAGGCGGGUCUCUGGGCCACUACUGACGCUGAGAAGCGAAAGCAUGGGGAGCGAACAGG
rnacentral:rRNA from 1 species